rfam:Triticum aestivum genome assembly, contig: Triticum_aestivum_CS42_TGACv1_scaffold_654138_T_6AL-0.419937_7AL-0.215002
ACCGGUGACUGAUGAUGAACUCGUCUCGUUCAUCACAUCAGGCCUUGACAUGGAGUACAACCCUCUUGUGUCGGCACUGGAUAACAGGACGGAGCCCAUUACUCCCGAUGAACUCUUUGGACAACUGUCCAACUUCGACC